rnacentral:rRNA from 1 species
AUGUCUUCCUCAAGCUCCCGCGCCACCUCGCGGAUGCAGAGCCAGGCGCGUGUGGACAUGCCUAUCUUCGUCUGUUCGUGGUGCCGGGCGGACGUUGAUCGGAGGGUUUCUCACACACCGAGGAACCAGACUCGUCCGUUCUACUUGUGCAACGAGAAUGGGGUGACAUGCUUCUUUCUUUGGGUCGAUGCUCUGGCCAGACUCGAAGAGCAUGAAGAAUGGUUGCGCAUGCUGCCACGAACGGCGGUGGCCGCAGCACGAGCUCUGGAAGAAGAGAUGGAGGGCGAAGCACGCACUAACAAAGAGCUAGCUGUUGAGCUUAGGAUGUUGAAAAAGAAGGUUAGGAAGCUUGAAGAUCAAGCACCACCAAUACCCAUUUGCAAAUAUUUUUGGGAAUUUCUAGGUAUGGUAAUCACACUGGUUGUAAUGUUGAAAAUGUAUGGAAAGGCAUGA